CGGGUGAGUAACACGUGGAUAACCUACCUAUAAGACUGGGAUAACUUCGGGAAACCGGAGCUAAUACCGGAUAAUAUAUUGAACCGCAUGGUUCAAUAGUGAAAGACGGUUUUGCUGUCACUUAUAGAUGGAUCCGCGCUGCAUUAGCUAGUUGGUAAGGUAACGGCUUACCAAGGCAACGAUGCGUAGCCGACCUGAGAGGGUGAUCGGCCACACUGGAACUGAGACACGGUCCAGACUCCUACGGGAGGCAGAGCA
rnacentral:rRNA from 1 species